rnacentral:rRNA from 1 species
UACACACCGCCCGUCACACCAUGGGAGUUGGCUUUACCUGAAGCCGGUGCGCUAACCCGCAAGGGAGGCAGCCGACCACGGUAGGGUCAGCGACUGGGGUG